ACUUGAAUUACGCUUAAUUUUCAGAUAUUUCAAUCUGAGAAGCGGGGGAACCAAUCAAUUGGGGCGAAUCACUCCUUCUGGAGUGUAGGGUACCAUCUUACCCGAGUCCGUCAGCUAACCCCGUCAGCAGUGGAUGGGUCUAUUU
rnacentral:sRNA from 1 species